GUUGCAUUAUGGGGGAUGUAGUUUUUGCCCUCUAAGGCGAUUUUACGUUGUAACUUGUUUGUGUUGCAGUGGUUUUGUACAUGAGUUGUUGUAUUUUGCUACUAUCAACACUGAAAGCACCUAGCAAUGUAUUGGGGAUGUGAGACAGGAUAUGUGUUUUACCUUUCUUCAUGCUCCUGUGUAGAACAACUUGUCAGGUGGUGCAUUGGAGACUGAUGUGUUCCUGUCCUGUCUUUUCAUAAUACUAUUGCAGGGCAAUGACCCAAAACACACCUCCAGGCUGUGUAAGGGCUAUUUGACCAAGGAGAGUGAUGGAAUGCUGCAUCAGAUGACCUGGCCUCCACAAUAACAAAACCUCAACCCAAUUGAGAUGGUUUGGGAUGAGUUGGUCCGCAGAGUGAAGGAAAAGCAGCCAACAAGUGCUCAGCAUAUGUGGGAACUCCUUCAAGUAUUCCAGAACCACAACAAUAACAUUCCAAGUCAUUCGGUUUACCAAAAUCAUACAAACAUCUUCAAAUGGAAACAGCUGUGUCUGCGUGUGUGUGGUGGUGACUAUCAAGACUACAGUGAUGACCCGGAACAUCAUGUUCUAACCGGACAGCACUAUAGAGGGCAGAACCAAACCAAUCAGUUAGAAGUAUAUAGCAGGCCGGUGGUGGUUGGUCCCUCCAGGAGUCUGAGGUGUGGGAGGUUCCUCCGCCCCCUCUGGACAUCGAGGGGGCCCCGGCACACUCCGUCCGGUCCAUCCUGGAUUCGAGGCGUCGGGCGGGGGGCCUUCAGUACCUCGUAGAGUGGGAGGGGUACGGUCCGGAGGAGAGGUGCUGGGUUCCGGUGGCGGAUGUGUUUGACCCUGAACUGCUGCAGGAGUUCCACCGUCGCCGGCCGGACCGCCCUGCGCCUCGCCCUCCGGGUCGUCCCCGAGGCCGGUGUCGGCACGCCGCUAGAGCCGCG
rnacentral:lncRNA from 1 species